AUGGGCUGGGGAGGGCUGGGCUGGGACAGGGACUGCUGCGUUGCCUGCCAGCUGCCCUGCCCUUUCUCUUGUCCCUGCAGGCUCCAGUUCAGCUUGUGCCUUCCAGGCGUGAUCAUCCCAGGCUGCAGGAGAGCAGCAAAUGGCCACAGCACAUCGGUGUCAGGAGCCCGUGAGCUUUGCGGAGGUGGCCGUGUAUUUCAGCAGGGAGGAGUGGGCGCUGCUGGACCCUGCGCAGCGAGCGCUCUACCGGGACGUGAUGCUGGAGACGUACCAGUGCGUGGCCUGGCUGGGUGAGGGCUUUGCUGCCUUUCCUCCUCGUUAGGGCUCCUUGGGCUGCUGAAUGAGCCUCUGCAUGCCGGGCU
rnacentral:lncRNA from 7 species